rnacentral:rRNA from 1 species
AUUGAACGCUGGCGGCAGGCCUAACACAUGCAAGUCGAACGGUAACAGGAAGCAGCUUGCUGCUUUGCUGACGAGUGGCGGACGGGUGAGUAAUGUCUGGGAAACUGCCCGAUGGAGGGGGAUAACUACUGGAAACGGUAGCUAAUACCGCAUAACGUCGCAAGACCAAAGAGGGGGACCUUAGGGCCUCUUGCCAUCGGAUGUGCCCAGAUGGGAUUAGCUAGUAGGUGGGGUAACGGCUCACCUAGGCGACGAACCCUAGCUGGUCUGAGAGGAUGACCAGCCACACUGGAACUGAGACACGGUCCAGACUCCUACGGGAGGCAGCAGUGGGGAAUAUUGCACAAUGGGCGCAAGCCUGAUGCAGCCAUGCCGCGUGUAUGAAGAAGGCCCUCGGGUUGUAAAGUACUUUCAGCGGGGAGGAAGGGAGUAAAGUUAAUACCUUUGCUCAUUGACGUUACCCGCAGAAGAAGCACCGGCUAACUCCGUG